UAAAUACUCCCUCCGUUCCUAAAUACUUGUCUUUCUAGGCAUUUCAACAAGUGACUACAUACGGAGCAAAAUGAGUGAAUCUACACUCUAAAAUAUGUCUACAUACAUCCGUAUGUAGUAGUCAUUUGAAAUGUCUAGAAAGACAAAUAUUUAGGAACGGAGGGAGUAUAAG
rnacentral:pre_miRNA from 1 species